GCGGUGCUAGGAACCAAAUUGCAGGAAGUAUGAAGUACAAAGGAGACUGGAUGACCCGUCCCGUGUCAGAAGACGAGGUUGCAUGGAUGGCUAAGCUGCUAAUCAACAUCUCUAUCUGGCUCAAUGAACGUCUCGGGCUAAACCAACCUGUGACCAACAAAGACAAGAAGGAGAAUUCAGAGUCGGUGUCAUAUGUAGACGUGUCAGAGGAGGAUGCGAGAAAUGUUGCUGGACCUGGAGAUGCUGCGAGGAUGAUGAUGCGAGGGAUGGUGAUGGUAUGUGGUUCGGUGUUGCAGCUGAUGAGAAGAUAUGGUGUUCGAGUCAACUUACGGGUCAUGGCGUCCAAAAAGUUUCUGAUGCUUUUAUUUCUC
rnacentral:lncRNA from 1 species